rnacentral:rRNA from 1 species
UACAGAGGUCUCGAGCGUUGUUCGGAUUCAUUGGGCGUAAAGGGCGCGUAGGCGGCGGGGUAAGUCUGGUGUGAAAUCUCGGAGCUCAACUCCGAAAUUGCACUGGAUACUGCUCUGCUAGAGGGCUGGAGAGGAGAUCGGAAUUCACGGUGUAGCAGUGAAAUGCGUAGAUAUCGUGAGGAAGACCAGUGGCGAAGGCGGAUCUCUGGACAGCUCCUGACGCUGAGGCGCGAAGGCUAGGGGGAGCAAAACGGGG